UUCAAGAUAUCUCCAAAUACACAUUGUGUGGUAAUUGUUACAAAAUCAAUAUCAUCUGCCGUGACUUAAAAGUUUGUCCUCCGCCUAAAUUCAUGUUGAAACUUUAAACUCCAAAACAAUAGUGUUAAGAGGUGGGGGCCUUUAGGAGGUGGUGAGGUCAUAAAGGCUGUGCCCUCAUCAUUGAGAUGAAUGACUUCAUAAAAGGACUUGAGGGAGUGAGUUCUGCCCUUUCUGCCCCUCUGCUGUCUGUGAACAUAACAUUCAGGAUGUCAUCUUGAAAGCAGAGACCAAGGUCUUCACCAGAGACAGUCUGCCAAUGGCUUGAUUUUGCACUUCCCAGCCUAUAUAACUGUUCUGUUAUUAACAUGGUGUGUCUAAAGUUGUCACUGCUGGUCAUCCGGAAGAAUCUGAGAAGCAGCAAGUCUUUGUUUUCACUCCCAGACCUGUUUUCUUUGCUGAAUAGGGUCAGGAGACCCCCAGGUCAAGCUUCAUCUCAUCUAUAGAUAGGCUGAGUUACCUUUGGUCCAAAAACGGGCUGGUCCUAUCUUUCUCCCAGAAGGAGCUCUGGACUUCUCCAGCCAGGGCUGGACCCUGGGACAAGUCAGGGUGGCUGAGAUUCCCAGCCCUCAGCAGGGAACACAGGCCACCUGGGAGUCCAUGGUGUAGAAGUUCUGCACUGCAACACAGAGGCCCGCAGAGCUGGCAAGCUAAGAGAGCUGCUCCCAGGUCAGCAGAGAAUGGGCCUACUGUGCUUGUGUCUGACUAGGUCUUGAUAAAUGGCCUCAGACUUACCAUAGAGGUCACCAGGCUUUUCAGAACUGGCAGCAGGUGGUCUCCUGGGGACUGAGAUAUGGGCUUCUUGCUGCACCCAGUGCGGACGCUUGGGGAUCCACUAUGGCAGGCAUCACAGGUCUUCUCAGUUUUGCUGCUGUAGGGCCCCCAGCUCAUGAACACAGAACAGUCACCUCUCCCAUGGCUGAGCAUACCCACCAGUAGUGGCCCAGAGUUUCCCCAUGGAGAGGCUCCCAGAGGCAUAUGACAGCCCCUCUGCCAUUGCCACAGUAAUAGUUCUAUCCCUGCUGCCUUUGGUCUGGGGAAGAAACAACCUGAGAGCUACACCCAAGCUUACAGCACACACCACAGCCACCAAUACCGAGAGACUAGUCUUUUCUCCCUGUGAGCCUUCAUCCCAUUGCUCCCCAACAAGCGGAACCCCAAGCUUAUGCCAGCAGUGCAGGUGCCCCACCCAGCAGCUGAACACCCCCAGUAACUAUGGUUCUACAUUUCUUGGAGGUGGAGCCCCCAGGAGCAAACAAAAGCCUUGCUACCACUGUCUGCAGUGGAACUGCCCUUGCUAUCCUCAGACAAAUGAAUGAACAAAUACCAUAAGUGCCUUAUCCACACCUACAACAAACUGCAGCUGACCCAAGGAGAGGAGACCAGUUCAUCUCCCACAGGUUCCACCCACUCCCCCUGCUUGUCACCAGAUAGGAAACCCUGGGCUUUGUCCCACAGCACAGACCCUCCGUUCUGGGCUGAUUGCACUUAGCAAUUGCUAACCGGCUCCUCUUGGGUGGAGCCCCCAGGAGACAAGCAAAAGACCUUUGGCCGCAACCACUAUUAAGGUCCCUUCCUCUGCUGCCUCCAAGCCAGGGGAGGAACAUAAGCCCUGAGAGUGCCCCAGAGCUGUGGUGGGCAGCCCAAGAGUGCCAAGCCACAGUUUAUAGCCAGCAUUCAAGUGGGAGAGAAGCCCACACUUUCAGAACAUUGAGAGGGAGCAUGACUGCAACUGUCAGAAAAUAUAGGGGAGCCACAUGACCAAGCAAGAGCCUACCAACUAACCAGUAUGCCUAAGCACCACCUACUGGAUCACAUCCCGAAGUUCCAACACCAAAAACACCUUGCUAGCAUUCCCCUCUGUGAGACCAAAGACAAGUCAGCUACAAAUGAAGACCCUGCACAAAGCCUUGGCUCUGCGAAGACAUCCAGAAAAAAAAGUGUACUGACUGUACUCAAUUUACACUGCAGUUACAGGAACACCCACGUGCAGACAUGAGAAAGAACCAAUGAAAGAACUCCAGUAACUCAAAUGGCCAGAGUGUUGUAUGUCCUCCAGAUGACCACACCAGUUUUUCCACAAGGGUUCUUACUCAGGCUGAGCUGGCUGGAAUGACAGAAAUGGAAUUUAGAAUAUGGAUAGGAAUUAAGAUCAUCAAGAUUCAGGAGAAUGCAAAACCCAAUCCAAAAAAACUAAGAAUCACUAGAGCUGAAAGACAAGAUAACUGAUUAAAAAAGAGCCUGAUGAUUCUGACAGAGCAGAAAAACACACUACAAGAAUUUCAUAAUGCAGUCACAAGUAUUAACAGCAGAAUAGACCAAGUGGAGGAAAGACUCUCAGAACAUGAAGACUGGCUCUCUGAAAUAAGACAGUUAGAAAAAUGAAAAAGAAUCAAAAAUAACAAAACUUCUGAGCAAUAUGGUAUUUUGUAAAGUGGCCAAAUCUAUGAAUUAUUGGCAUCCCUGAAAGGGAUGGGAAGAAAGCAAACAAGUUGGAAAACAUUUUAGGAUAUCAUCCACGAAAACUUCCCCAACCUUGGUAGAGAGGCCAACAGUCACAUUCAGGGAAACCAGAGAACCCCUGUAAGAUUCUACACAAUAAAAUCAUCCCCAAGACACAUAAUAAUCAGAUUUUCCAUGGUCAAAAUAAAAGAAAGACUGUUAAAGGCAGCUAUACAGGGCAGGUCACCUACAAAGGUCACCCCAUCAGGCUAACAGCAGACCUCUCAGCUGAAACCCUAUAAGCCAGAAAAGACUGAGGGCCUAUAUUCAACAUUCUUAAAGAAAAAAAAUCUUCAACCAAGAAUUUCAUACCCAGCCAAACUAAGCUUCCUAAGUGAAAGGGAAAUAAGACCCUUUUCAGACAAGCAAAUGCUGAGGGAGUUCAUUACCACCAGACCUGCCUUAUGAGAGAUCUUGAAAGGAGCACUAAAUAUAGAAAGAAAAGUCUGCUACCAGCCAAUACAAAAACACACUUAAAUACACAGAUCAGUGACACUAUAAAGCAACCACACAAACAAGCCAGCAUAAUAACCAGCUACCAACAUGACAGGAUCAAAUCCACACAUAUUAAUACUAAUCUUGAAUGUAAACAGGCUAAAUGCCCCACUUAAAAGGCGCACAAUGGCAAGCUCCAUAAGAAGGCAAGACCUGAUGGUAUGUUGCCUUCAAGAGACCCAUGCAGUGACCUAGGAUCAAAAUAAAGAGAUGGAGAAAAAUC
rnacentral:lncRNA from 1 species